CUCUCAGGCUACAGAUACAGGAUCCAGUACAUAAUGCUCAAAGCAUAAACCCAGAUCAAAUCUCGCUGCAGCAGCAGUAUACAAAGGAGUAGAGAAAAAGCAUGCUGACCGUGCAUUGAAGAGAAGGCACUCGAAAGCCCCUGUUUACCCUUGUUUCAGGCACAAGUACAGUUCUUAGUGCAUGAGUGAUGCAAAAAUAACUGGAGGAUUGCAUCAAGCAUUCAUCCACGGCAAUUUAAAUAAAGAUGAGCUGACGUGAUGGAGAUUAACUGCACUGUAAGAAUGCCUGCAGUGCUCAGCAGAAUGAGGGGCAAGGGAGAAAAAGGACAAGGGGGGGAGUUACACUUCUAGCAAAAGGACAUAUCACUUAGUCCAGCAAAUCAGCAUGCCCAAAAUUUCGUAUUACUGACGUAGAUCUGGCUCUGGCAUGUCUGCAUCAUGCUGUGUAGGCAUUAGGUGCUCUGCAUGUUUAACAUGUGUCUGUAGUCCAGGAGGAAAAUUCUUUCAGUAUAUGAAAGGGAGCUACAGGAAGAAGGGGACAGACUCCUUAGCAAGAUCUGUGGUGACAGAACAAGGGGAAAUGGUUUCAUGCUUAAAGGGGGGAUAUUUAGUUUAGACAUAAGGAAAAAGUCUUUUACAGUGAGGGUGGUGAGACACUGGAACCGGUUGCCCAGAGAGGUGGUGGAUGCCCCAUCCCUGGAGACUGUCAAGGCCAAGCUGGACCAGGUUUUGGGCAACCUGAUCUACCUAUGGAUGUCCCUGUUCACUGCAGAGGAGUUGGACUAGGUGACCUUUAAAGGUCCUUUCUAACUCUAAGGAUUCUAUGAUUCUUCCCCAGAUAGUUACUGGUAGUCUUACUGGGUCAGAAUGAGCCAGGGUUGCCUGCACAUCACUGCUGGCAGAAUUUUUCACCUGAAUCUAUAAGCCAACUCUUUUUCAUUUAGAAAGCCAGGGAGAAUUCGGUCAGGCUCUGAAGAAUGAGGAGCUUCCACAGCUGCUGCCCUCAAGCCUUUAUGGACAUCAGAGAGACUGCACGGCCCUAGUAAGUCAAUGGAGAUACUUCAUGUAUGCUCGUCUCAAGAAAAGUAGAAUCUGUUUCCACUUCUGGUUUAUGCAAUGGAAAGUUCCAAAUGCUGAAGAAGCUGGGCCACUUGGAUCAAAGAUAGCCAUCUGAGACUGAAGGUUUUCAUCCAUUCGUUCCAAAUGUUUUCACUGCCUCCACUCUUGAUUUCUGUAUGCUUUGACUUUGUAUCCUUUUUGUAAGCGAGCAGAGAUUUGAUAGAAGUGUCUCACUGGCUGCAUCCAAAACUGGAAAUAGAUGGUAUGGGAUCAAUGCUGAGAUGAUAAGAAACAGCAUUUUUCCUCCUUACAUUUCUGACCAAAGAACGGUAAGGAGAAAAAUAUCCUUUAUCAAGCCAGAUCUUUUGUGGAAAAUAUAAACUAGACCAGUGUUUCAGAAAGAUUUCGUCUCGCUUCAAUGCUACCUUAACUGUAUUUUACCAACUUAGUUUGAGAAAGGUGAGAAAAGUUAGUUGGUAUCAGCUUAAAGACACCCCACAUUUUUAAAGCUAACCAAAUAACUAAGAGAAGGCGUAUUUACCGUGCAGUUCUCCUCAUUUUCAGUCACCACCAUCUACUUCACGCAAUUUGGAGCCCAGCAGCUGGAAGCUCGGCCUGUGUUCUCUGUUCUGGCCACUUGAGGGAAUCAGUCUGUAGCGGUGGUCCGUAAUUUUUGCUUCUAUGCUGAGGAAGCAAGAAAAAUUAUAUUUUUUGCAGAACGUUUUCCAACUUUACUUCAACAUUAAAGACAUCACAAAGCACCGGCUCAGAAAUAAAUUACUCCCUACAUACUAAAUAUCCAGGAAGGGAAAAAAAAUGUUGAUAAAUGAGAGUCUUGGGAGUUGCUAAGUGAGGUCCCUGCACACAAUUUAUGAUCAUGCACUCUUGGACUUCAGAAUGAUUAAUAUAGCUAAUUCUCAGUAGAAUAAGAGCUGUUUUAGCCCAGGAGAGAACUGUACGUUAUUGUUUAUAGAAGCAGAUAACAUCAAAGUGGCUCACUGCUUGUGUUAAGCAAAUACAGAAUUCUGGGUCAGUGCAAAUUAAUCCUAAAGGAGUAAGAAAAAGUUCUUAAUGACCGCUAGAUCAGUGUGUUAUCACUUUUCAUACGACCAAAAAUGGUGGAACUGUUGAUGAGAAUUACAAAUGGCCUCACUCACCGCAGCGCGCUGGCAGCUGUCUAUUAGCACGGUCACCAUUGGGCACUCUGGCCAUUUGUAAACAUAAAAUUUGCUAAUGAUGCGUAAAAGAGAUUUAGGCAAUUUUCUGAGAUAUUUGAGCCUUUCCAAAACUGUCUUUUGCAACAAACAUACAGCAUGUCUUAUGCUACAGUUAGCUGAGUGGACUGAGAGCCUUAAAAUUGUUCUCUUCUUAUUCAUAUGGGAAAGUCUGGUUUGCAGAAAUGAAAAAAUUGUAUUUACAUGUGAAGUCACUGUGGAAAAAAACUAUUGUUGAUUUAUUAAGAAGUGUCUAUUAAGCUGUGUUGUCUGGGCCAAAGGCACACAGUUUGGCUUUCUUUGGAUAGAAUAGGUUGCAUUUCACAGACUAUAGUUAACUUUGCGGUACUGUCAAAUUG
ensembl:lncRNA